rnacentral:rRNA from 1 species
AUACGUAGGAGGCGAGCGUUGUCCGGAUUUACUGGGCGUAAAGGCCGUGUAGGCGGCCCGCUAAGUCCGAUGUGAAAUCUCCCGGCUCAACUGGGAGGCGCCAUGGGAUACUGGCAGGCUUGAGGACAGCAGAGGGAAGCGGAAUUCCGGGAGGAGUGGUGAAAUACGCAGAUACCCGGAGGAACACCAGAGGCGAAGGCGGCUUCCUGGGCUGUUCCUGACGCUGAGGCGCGAAAGCGUGGGGAGCAAACCGGAUUAGAAACCCUAGUAGUCC